CCCAGCUGCGGGCGCCGGGCAGCUGGCUGCGCUAGGACCCACGGCCUCCGGCCGCUGGGGCGGAGUGGCCAGGCAGGAGCGGGAGCCGGAGGGCCCGGGAGACCGGCGCUGUCCGGAGUGUGGAACGGCAUGCAGCUGCGGGAGCCCGCGUGAGGGUGUCGGCCUGGGGCCCCCGCCAUGGCUGGCAAGGACAGUGGCAACCUGAAGACGGUGAGGCUGUGGCGGGACGCCGCCCUGCGUGCCAGGAAGCUGAGGAGCAACCUGCGCCAGCUGACCCUCAGCGCGGCCGGGGGCUUUCCCGGGGCCGGAGCCGACCCCCUGGAAUCCCCCGACUCCCCUCAGCUGGUGCUGCCAGCCAACAUCGGAGACAUUGAGGUGCUAAACCUGGGGAACAAUGGCCUGGAGGAGGUGCCGGACGGGCUAGGGUCAGCUCUGGGCAGCCUGCGCGUCUUGAUCCUGCGCAGGAACCGCUUCGCCCGGCUGCCCCCUGCGGUGGCUGAGCUCGGCCACCACCUCACCGAGCUGGACCUGAGUCACAACCGGCUGACCGCCCUGGGUGCGGAGGUUGUGAGCGCCCUAAGGGAGCUGCGCAAGCUCAACCUCAGCCACAACCAUCUGCCCUGCCUACCCGCCCAGCUGGGUGCCCUCGCCCACCUGGAGGAGCUGGACGUCAGCUUCAACCGGCUGGCGCACCUGCCUGACUCCCUCUCCUGCCUCCACCGCCUGCGCACUCUUGACGUGGACCACAACCAGCUCACUGCCUUUCCCCGGCAGCUGCUGCAGCUGGCGGCUCUGGAGGAGCUGGACGUGUCCAGCAACCGGCUUCGAGGCCUACCUGAGGAUAUUAGUGCCCUGCGUGCCAUCAAGAUCCUCUGGCUGAGUGGGGCUGAACUGGGCACCCUGCCCAAUGGCUUCUGCCAGCUGGCCAGUUUGGAGAGCCUCAUGCUAGACAACAACGGGCUGCAGGCUCUGCCUGAGCAGUUCAGCCACCUUCAACGGCUCAAAAUGCUCAACCUCUCUUCCAAUCUCUUUGAGGAGUUUCCUGCCACGCUGCUGCCCCUGGCUGGUCUGGAGGAGCUCUACCUUAGUCGAAACCAGCUCACCUCAGUGCCAUCCCUUAUCUCGGGGCUGGGCCGGCUUCUUACUUUGUGGCUGGAUAAUAACCGCAUCCGCUACCUGCCAGACUCCAUUGUGGAGCUGACUGGGCUGGAGGAGCUGGUGUUGCAAGGGAACCAGAUCGCUGUGCUGCCUGACAACUUUGGCCAGCUCUCCCGGGUGGGCCUGUGGAAGAUCAAGGACAACCCACUGAUCCAGCCCCCCUACGAAGUGUGCAUGAAGGGGAUCCCCUACAUCGCAGCCUACCAGAAGGAGCUGGCUCAUUCGCAGCCUGCAGUGCAGCCACGUCUCAAGCUGCUCCUCAUGGGCCACAAGGCUUCAGGAAAGACCUUGCUCAGGCACUGCCUCACGGAGGAGAGAGUAGGGGGAAGCCAAGGAGGAGGGGACAAGGAGAAGAGUUACUCACCUUCUCCUUCCCCUGGGAGCAAGGGCAUCGAGGUGACAAGCUGGACGGCUGAUGCCUCCCGGGGCCUGCGGUUCGUCGUGUAUGACUUAGCUGGUGAUGAAAGUUAUGAAGUGAUUCAGCCUUUCUUUCUCUCCCCAGGGGCUCUGUAUGUGCUGGUGGUCAACUUGGCCACCUAUGAACCAUGCUGCUUUCCCACCACUGUGGGCUCCUUCUUGCAUCGGGUAGGGGCUCGGGUGCCUCAUGCCGUGGUGUGCAUUGUGGGCACACAUGCUGACCUGUGUGCUGAGCGGGAGCUGGAGGAGAAGUGUUUGGACAUUCACCGCCAGAUUGCACUGCAGGAGAAGCACGACGCAGAGGGCCUGAGCCACCUAGCCCAGGUAGUAGAUGAGGCCUUGGCCCGGGACUUUGAGCUGCGCUCUGCCAGCCCCCAUGCAGCCUACUAUGGUGUUUCAGACAAGAACCUUCGGCGGCGCAAAGCUCAUUUUCAGUACCUACUUAACCACCGGCUGCAGAUCCUCUCACCUGUGUUGCCUGUUAGCUGCUGGGAUCCCCGCCUAUUGCAGCGUCUUAGGGACAAGCUGCUCUCAGUGGCUGAGCACCGAGAAAUCUUCCCCAACUUACAUAGAGUCCUGCCUCGGUCCUGGCAGGUGCUGGAAGAACUGCAUUUCCAGCCCCCUCAGGCACAACGACUUUGGCUAAGCUGGUGGGACUCAGCACGUCUGGGCCUGCAGGCUGGUCUGACCGAGGACCGGCUGCAGAGUGCCCUUUCCUAUUUGCAUGAGAGUGGCAAGCUGCUCUACUUUGAGGACAGCCCAGCCCUCAAGGAGCAUGUCUUCCACAACCUUACCCGCCUCAUCGACAUCCUCAAUGUCUUUUUCCAGAGGGAUGCUUCCUUGCUGCUGCAUAAACUGCUCCUGGGGACCAGUGGAGAGGGUGAGGCCGAGGGGGAAAGUUUCCCUGCUAUGGCACUGCCCACCUCGAACCAGGAUGUGCUCCGGGCCACCCAGCUCCAUCAUUAUGUAGAGGGCUUUCUGCUGCAUGGGCUCCUGCCAGCCCAUGUGAUUCGGUUGCUGCUCAAGCCUCAUGUCCAGGCCCAAGAGGACUUGCAGCUACUGCUAGAGCUGCUAGAGAAGAUGGGACUCUGUUACUGCCUCAAUAAACCCAAGGGCAAGCCUUUGAAUGGCUCAACAGCUUGGUACAAGUUCCCAUGCUAUGUGCAGAAUGAUGUGCCCCAUGCAGAGGCCUGGAUUAAUGGGACCAACCUAGCUGGCCAGUCUUUUGUGGCUGAGCAGUUGCAAAUUGAAUAUAGUUUCCCCUUUACCUUUCCACCUGGGUUGUUUGCUCGCUACAGCGUCCAGAUCAACAGCCAUGUGGUGCACAGGUCAGAUGGUAAAUUUCAGAUCUUUGCAUAUAGAGGGAAAGUUCCUGUGGUGGUGAGUUACAGACCUGCCAAGGGGGUCCUACAACCAGACACCCUGUCCAUUGCCAGCCAUGCAUCAUUACCAAAUAUAUGGACUGCAUGGCAAGCUAUUACCCCCUUGGUAGAGGAACUGAAUGUCCUACUUCAGGAAUGGCCCGGACUGCACUACACCGUGCACAUCCUCUGUUCUAAGUGCCUUAAGAGAGGAUCGCCCAAUCCACACGCUUUCCCAGGGGAGUUGCUGAGCCAGCCUAGACCAGAAGGAGUGGCAGAGAUCAUUUGCCCCAAGAAUGGUAGCGAGAGGGUGAAUGUGGCCUUGGUUUACCCACCUACACCAACUGUGAUCAGCCCCUGUUCCAAGUAUCUUCAUACUUUCUUGGAAAAUUAAGUGGAAAAGAUAGUGCUUCUUUCCCUUAUGCCAUCAUUUUUACUGUACCUAAUCUGUGACUUUAGGAGCGCGAAAUUUUAAGGGAAGAAUGUUGGUGAAAAGCACAGAAAUCAGUGACUUUUCUGGCUGUGGGGUUUCCAUGGAGAAAACAGAGCAGUGGAGCCCACUGGGACCAUCUUCUUCUGUACGUGGCAUGCCCUCCAAGUCUCAAGCAUGCAGGGUGAGCUGAGUGAAGAUGCACCCAGGCUGCUUUGAGGCAACGUGGAGGGGCACAGGAAGGAUGGGAGAGAACAUGGAGCAAAUGUUUCACAAACUGAACCUCAGAACUGUGAUCCUCUAAGGAGAGCACUACUUGAAGAAGAGUCGAAUGGCUUCUCAGGGAUUUUGUUUUCUGUGCACAUAUAAGCCAUAGUUACAGUACAGGUGGCAGUAUUUAGAGCACUUCGGUUUCAGUUCUGUUCAAUGUGAAAGAGGGAUCGACCGACGUUCAUUGCUGUUCAUAACUAGUGUAAGAUAUGUAUAUGUUUAUCUUUAUUUUUAUAAUAUGAAAAUACCUUUAAAUUUAUACAGUUUGAAGCUUCUAGCAUCAGUUAACACUGGGUGCAAUAUUCUGCAUGAGAACUGUGCCAAGAUGGGGCUGAUUUCUUAUGUUCGUGUAAGACACUUUUGUUCUCUCUUUAUUCUUUAAUCUGCCUUCUGAGUUUAGAAAGAAAGAAAGACAGCAAUCAGUUAGCCCAUAGAUUUAAUGUUGAUUCAUAGAGGUUGCCAGUAAUCAGCAAGAUCCUUCUACAUGUGCUUCAGAUGGUGCCCCUCCAGCCUCUCCGUUAACGGUCCUGCCUGUAAGUUAGUGGACGUGAUGGCAGGAUUCUCCUCAUUCUCUCCACACGUAUCAUUAGUUCGGGGACAAAGAUGAGGCAUUUGGGGGGGAGCCAGAGGGGACAAAAAGUCCAUGAAAAACCUGAUCUUUGAAUAACUGAAGAUAAUCAGAAGUGAAUUCUGAAUCAUGGUGGGGGCUCUGCUAAUAUGUAACUUUCAUUUCUAGAACAGAGUGCUUUGUGAACCCUCCACAUCUGAUUGUGGGACCUUCAGAUAGAAAGCCACCUAGUUGGGGAGGCCAGUCCUAUGCUGGCCAUUUAUUCAUACAGAAUCUGUUAUUACACAAUUUACUGCCAAGAACUGGUAAAACCCCUGUUUUGAAAUCUUCGGGAAGUAAAACUUAAAAAGCAAACCCAGCAAGUUGCUCUUCAGUCUCCUACUUAAGGCUAAACAGCAUCUGCUGUAAAAGUAAUACAUUCUUUGAAGAAUGUGAAGACUCUGUUUACAUCUGCCGCUGCUACAUGUAGAUAGAAAAUAUCUCAGUUUCUCACCAAUGUCAGACAAGAAAAGUGACACCGCUGGUAUUACUCUCUCACUUCAUUCACAUAAUAUUGACUCUUAGGAUGCCACAAGACACAAAGUCUCCACAUAUUUUAAAAGAAUAUAAAUGGCUAGAUUUUGAGAAAUCUCAGUUGAUUUUUGUAGAAUAUUUUGUGCCCCAAAAGUUAACUUCAAUGACUCCAGAGCCCCAGUUACACGAGUGUGAUUUCCUAUGAUCUUAAAAUCAUGUGAGAUCAGACUCUUUCUCUGUUUUUAAUACUUGAAUAUGACCCUCAAGUUUGAGAUUUCAUUUUCCUUUUAGAACACAGUCACAAGAUUAAUUUGGUUAAUCCUUUUGUCACAGUUCUCAUUUGUGUGUGUGUGUGUUUGUGUGUGUGGGGAUAAGUGUAAAUGGAAACUGAAUGUUAACAUUUAAUUGCUUUAUGGACCACUGAAUUGUUAGGCAAUAAGAAUUUUUUAAUUGGCACCAGACAGUUCCUUACAUCAACCAGUUCUGACCAGUCUUUGGAUAAAGGCAUUUAAAUGGGUGACUUUGGGCUCCCUCCCCUGAAGACCAUAUUAAAUGAAAUGAUGCCCCUUUGGGUGAUAUAUCCUGUAAAGUAUUUGCUAUUUUCCAUGAACAUCAGUGCCCAUGUUCUUAGUAUCUGCUCUUUUUUCACACAUGAUGUUUUGUUCUGUCAUCUGAACCCUGAAGAAGCAGUGUAAGAGGUAAGCUUGGUGUUGAGUGUGUUUGGGCCUAAGGGUAGGCAUGAUAGAGGGUCCUGUGACCACAAUAAGCUCUGGAAGAGUAUGGGGAGAGAGUGGAGAAACAGAAAUACUCUGCUCUGAAGCAGUUUUUGCCGUCUGUGUAGGAAAUUCCAUUUUCUCUUUCAACCCCCAGGAAGACUCAACAACCAGCUGAGGCUGACAAGCAAUUCACUAAGCACAAGAGGAAUUUUUUUCCAACCUAGGAGUCCCUUGCCUCUCAAACAGAUGCCCUGCAAGUUUGUUAUGGUUUCUAUUCCUGCAACUUGUGGUAUCAAAGCCACUUCCUGGAAUUGUAAAAGUGCUGCCAGAAUGUUUUCCCCCCUUCUAAGAAAAAAAUGACAGUGCUCAUAUUUGACGCUGAAUCGAAAUGUAUAAUUGAUAUUGUGAAAUAGCAUUGGACUCUCUUUUGAAUGAAUAAAGAGGAAAGGGACUGAUGUGAUUCCUGACA